CUAGGUCGAAUCAUGAUUAAAAGUGCAUAGUUAAGAUGAUCAAAUGGUGAUUACUUGAACAGUGUAGUCUUUCGCUCCUAUCUGACGGCCAUC